rnacentral:rRNA from 1 species
GGAGUUUGGGCCGUGUCUCAGUCCCAAUGUGGCCGGUCGCCCUCUCAGGCCGGCUAUAGAUCGUCGCUUUGGUGGGCCGUUACCCCGCCAACUGGCUAAUCUAACGCGGGUCCAUCUCUAUCCGAUAAAUCUUUUCACACUGUGAGAUGCCUCACCGUGCGCUUAUGCGGUAUUAGCAGUCAUUUCUAACUGUUAUCCCCCUGAUAAAGGCAGGUUACCCACGCGUUACUCACCCGUCCGCCACUAACUUGUUCCAAGUAAGGCUCGAUGCAAGCACUUCGCCUUACAGCGGAGCAAGUCCGUUCGACUUGCAUGUGUUAAGCACGCCGCCAGCGUUCAUC